GAUGCCAGAGCAGGCCUGGCCCGUGUCAUCUGGCAGCGGCAGGCAGGGGCCCCUGGUGCCGCCUGAUCCAGGACAGAUUCCUUAGCUUUCGGGGCCUGGCCUCGGUGCCCUUUCCAGCCCGUCCCAGCUCCAUGUUGGUGUCCUGCCCCAAACACCACUGUUGGGCCAAGUUGCUUUGGGGAACAGGGCAGCAUAUUGUCACCAAUCUGACUGGGGAAGCGGCCAGAAGUCUGGCAAAUCCGGGCUGCCAGGGCGACCUGAUUAGGAGAGAUGGACAGCCCCAGCCGUGCCCUCAUGCAGGCCUGGCUCUCUGCUGCUUCCAGCUCUCUGCUCCAUGGACGCGGUCCGAGCGCCAGCAGCAGGGUAAUGGGGACGUGGGCGGACGCUGGCGGGGAAGCGCUCGGCCGCAAAGGUCAGGCCUGCCCCUGCCUUGCCUUCCUCAUUAGGCCCAAAGGUGUAAAUCUGCAGAGAGAUCAGAAAUCAUGAGAAACUUUGCCAAACGCUCUUCUAACAUCCAAAUGCGCAGAGUCCGUGGACACAGCCGUCUCAAGCCACGGGAGGAAGCCGCUUGGCACCUCGCGUUCUCACUGUCGCACCCGCUGUCCCUGGGCAGGACUUUUACAGACACUAAACCAGAAAUAAAACCAAAGCGAGAGAACAGCAGAAACAAAACAAACCACAAAAUCUGCGGCGUGGCUCCAAGAACUGCUCCUGGCUCUGCCUGGUUGAGAGGAUCCCCGGCUGUGGGGCUCCAGCCUGCAGCUGUUCCCCUUAGGGCAACAGCCCCUCCAGUCCGACACACAGCCAGCGCUGGUCCGAAUCUGCCUUAGGCUUUCCAAGGUGACGCCUUCUCAGCCCGGUUCCCACCGCAGCCUGGGCAGCUGGGCUGGUGGAGCCCCGGGGACUUGGGCUUUAUCCAACUUUGGACACCAACUUCAUGCCUGCCUCCUACGCAUGGCAGGCCCAGGCCCUUUCCUGGGCAGGCCUCCUGACGCUGGGGCCUGGGGCUGGGAGCCUGUGGUCCCCAGCGCCCAGCCCAGUGACGCUCUGGCACUCUGUCCUGGGGCGAGCCAGCCUCCAGACACCAACCACCCCACCGGCCAAGUGCAGCCCUCACUUCGCCCGCUCCGGAUGCCACCCUGUCUCAAGGGCUGAGCCUUGCUCUGUGGCCUGCCACCGUCUCCAUCUUAGCAAGAACCUCCCCAUCUGGUCUGCCCACCCAGUGUCCCAGAAGGCUGGGGGAGGGCUCUCUGCCCCUCAGCCCUGGCAGAGGGUGUAGGACCAGGUGUGGUCUGCUGCUGGGUCUAAUCCAGCCAUCCUCAUGUCCUCUCCAGCUGGGAAGGUCUCAGCCAGGUAACCUCAGCAAGACCUGGUGGACAGGGAUGCCUGGGUCACCCCCUUUUCCUCCCUCCUGCCUCCCUGAAACAUCUCAUGAGUGAUCCCCACAUGCUUUGCCCAAUAAUGCACGGAGAGAAAGACACAGAGAGAGGCAGACAUACAGAGACCACCAGCCUGGGGCAGAUGCGCUCCCUUCUGUGAUCGGCAGCGACCUGCCCACCAGGUCUGACCCACCUCCCAGCCCUCAGGUCAGGAAAGGCUGCACUUCAGUCAAAACUUUGAAACCCAUUGCAUUGUUGUAAGUGUCCCACAUCCUUAAGCCCAGGGCCCCAGCAUGGGAUGCAGCUGCCCACAGGACGGGGACCCAGGGUGCACAGCAGCCCCAGGCCCUCCUAAAGCAUCGCGCAGGACGGAGGCCCGCCUUUUCUCCUGUAACGCAGCCUCUCCGAGGGAAUGGGAGGGGAGUGGUACUUUCUCCAGGCAGAACUCUGUUGUACACAUUUUCUCUGUGGGCAGAAAUAGAGCAAUUUUUUUUUUCUUUUAGAAAAAUCGAAUGUGGCUUUCAAAUGUCAAAAUCUCAGACUGAGGACAAACUACCUUUUAAAUAUCACAUUUUCUAAAAUGUAUAUGCAUUUUAUUCUGCCUUUGUCAUCUUCCUCCUGCGUCCUAACAGGGAGAGGCACCAAAGGGGGUGUAUUUUCUGCACAAGGACAAUGACAAGUUUUCAAAGGAGGGCGUUUGGGAUGAACUAAAGGGAAGUAUUCCCAUCACUGGCAAAGACAUGCCCUGGCAGGAUCUCCGCCCUGGGCAUGGGGCCGAGAAACUGCCCGCCUGGUCCCUGCAGGAGCUUGGCACCCGCUCUCUGGGCGCGGGAGCACCCUGUGACCGCGGGCAGGAGAGCUCUGCGGGGGCCUGACGGAACCUGCCGCCGCGUGGGCCUGGUGGAGGGCCCGGGCCUCAGCACCUGCACUCCUGCGUCUGAGCCUGUGCUCCGCGCCCAGAACGCCCCCAGCUGAAGACUUCCUUUCUUCCUGCAUCCAUGUCUCUGAGGACAGGUGGGACAACACUGAUGACAUCCUUUACUGCUGGUGACCAGGGGGCUGAGGCGCGGCUCAAGGCGGGGGCCCUGCUACCCGCCACUGUCAGCUCUCUGAAUGUGUGGUGAGUGGCUCUGCUCCGGCAACAGGGGAACCUGUAGACCUGGCCAAGCAGUGAGGGCUGCCUGCAGCAGAGGAGACGAAGGAGGUCAAUCAUGCCCAGGAGCCAGGGACCUGGCCUGGCCUGGCCUGCGCAUAGCGAGCAGUCCGUGAGCCCCCUCUGCGCGCCAGGCUGACACCACCCCCAAGUGUUCCAGGCAACCAACGGGUAAUCCAACCCAGAGCGCCACGCGGGAAGGGGAUUGCGGGGCUGUGGAGCAGGUGUGUUAACGUCCUGGGACUGCACAAGGUCAUUCCCUCGCAGCCCCCCGGAGGCCGAGGUCUGAGAAGAACAGCGGCAGACCGGCACCCUCCUGAGGCUGAGGGAGAAUCCAUCCCAAGCCAGUCUCAUGGGUCUGCUGGCUCCUGGCGACACCUGCCAUUCACUGAAGCACAGACCCACCCCGCCCGGCCCCUGCCCCCGUCUUCCCCAGCCUCCUCCCUGGGUCCCCUCUCUUAUAAAUGGCUUGUCAUUGCAGUUAGGGCCCACCCGAAUCGGAGAUGAUCUCAUUUCAACAUCCUUAACUUAGUCACAUCGGCAAAGACUGUAUUUCCAAACAAGGUCCCAUGACGGGCACUGGGGUUGAGGAUGUGGGCAUACAUUUUUAAGGUCUUGAGGGGCAGGGAGGGCCACCAACUCAACCUGCUGAAAGGACUGAGACCUAACUCCACCCCAGGGAGAGGAGAGACCCCCCAGAGACAGCUCUGAGCCUCAGUUUUGUGAACUGAAAGAAGAGAGUAAUAAUAAUAAAAUAAUAAUAAUAUAUCUUGCCUAGGUUUCUUGCAGGAAGGAUUCAGAAGAGUGGAGAGUAUGUAUGCAAGGACUGGUAUAGUUGUUAAUAAUAUUAUCUCCUGGGCUGCAUCCCACACUUAGUGGUAAUUCUCAUUAUAUUGCAAAACCUUGAUGCCUGUGACAGUCAAAUUUAAAAUUCAUACAGCAUGUUCUGGAAGGCGCAUGUAGGCAAAGGAGAACAUCAUUUGUAGACAUUCCAAAACAAAAAAUCUUGGAGCUGCUUAUGAGACUGCUGAGAGGAAGCCCAUGGGCCCCAUUUCCUGGGAACCCAGAAUCCUGCCAGGUGGUUAAUCUGCUUUGGCAGAAAGGCUUCUGGGAACUGCUAACUGUGGUGGCUAGAAUGGACAGCCAGGCGGGGCCAGACUCCCGGGGGCCAGCGGGAGGGAGGUGCUGAGGACCACAGGACGGAGGAGGCACUGUCGGGGCCUCAGAUCUCCCAGGAAGCCACCUCCCUGGGCUCCCCGGCUCUGAAUCCACA